GGGGUUGUGGCUCAGUGGUAGAGAGCACUUGUCUUGCAUGCAUGAGGACCUGGGUUCAAUCCUCAGCACCA
rnacentral:tRNA from 1 species